UAACACGUGAGCAAUCUGCCCUUCACUUUGGGAUAACUUUCGGAAACGGAAGCUAAUACCGAAUGCGACCAUUACAGACAUCUGUUGAUGGUGGAAAGUUCCGGCGGUGAAGGAUGAGCUCGCGGCCUAUCAGCUUGUUGGUGAGGUAACGGCCCACCAAGGCGACGACGGGUAGCCGGCCUGAGAGGGUGACCGGCCACACUGGGACUGAGACACGGCCCAG
rnacentral:rRNA from 1 species